UGGGCUCAUUGUUUGGGUGCCCGUGUGUGCAGUGACCGGAGGGCAACUGAAACAUUUCUGAAGGUUCUUCGCUGGCAGCGGUGUGAUGUUUCUUUUCUAGACAAGCCCGGGAGAACUAACCUAGGCCUGAGCUGGAACAGCAGGAAGGAAUUAGAUUACAUUCUAUGAGAGCUUCUGGAUUGUGAAGGCUUGGAGCCACUGGUGCGCACGAGCAUCGGCAUUGAUGAGAAUUUAAGUAGGGUUUUGUUUGUGACUUUCCUCUUCAAAUCUCAAGAGUCCUUGACAGUUAUCUCUUCUAUCAGGAACAAUCAUAGAGCCUUUUCUGCUACAUUAUCCCAGCAGAAGCUACUGCCUACACAUGCGACCCGCAAUAAUUAAAGACAUUUUAAGUGUCAAAUUCAUUAGCAUCCUCAUUAUACAGAUGAUGCCAGCGAGGCCCAGGAGGUUGGUGUCAAGUAACUUGUCUAAGGCCACACAACUUGUGGGUGGAAGAGCUUGACUGAAGGCCCAUGAAGCUGAGUCCAUCUGGCACCCAAGCUGAGGUCACUGGAGUAGGAUCCCACCACCAGACAGCAGCUAGAGAUGUCUGGAAGAGAACAGCCAGGCUCCAGUCACAGACACACUGCUGAAAUACUUCCUUUUAAUGCUACACAGAACUCAGUUGUUCAGAGGGGGGAUGGAGAGCUGGCUCAGAAGUCAAGGCAUGGGCACACUUGCAAAGGAUCUGAAUUUGGCUCCCAACACCCAUACUGGACGUCUCUCAACCAUCUGAAAUGCCAACACCAAAGGGAUCCCAUACCUUCCUCUGGACUCCGGUGGGAAACUGCUCUUGCAUUAACGUGUAUCCUCCAUAUACAAGUAAUGGAAAAUAAA